AUACGGAGGGUGCGAGCGUUAAUCGGAAUUACUGGGCGUAAAGCGUGCGUAGGCGGUUUGCUAAGUCAGAUGUGAAAGCCCCGGGCUUAACCUGGGAACUGCAUUUGAUACUGGCAGACUAGAGUAUGAUAGAGGGGGGUAGAAUUCCUGGUGUAGCGGUGAAAUGCGUAGAUAUCAGGAGGAAUACCAGUGGCGAAGGCGGCCCCCUGAAUCAAUACUGACGCUGAGGUACGAAAGCGUGGGGAGCGAACAGGAUUAGAAACCCUAGUAGUCC
rnacentral:rRNA from 1 species